CCACAGCACACGCCUCACACAUACCCGAUGUCCGAGCACAACGGGCCACAAACGAUGUGUUGCGGCUGAUCGCACUCGCGUGCGAUCGAUCGCUUUACUUACACACACAGACACACACACGCACAUGAGCGAUCUACGCCUAGAGCUGUAGAGCUGAACCAUCGAUACCCGUCUCUUUAGAGCUUCGGAAAGGAAUCUGCAGAGCGCGGAGGGGACGGGAAGCUAGCCCCCAACGCCCAACGACCUCUUAGGACAUGCCUGCCAUUUCUGGCUUACUAGACUUCAAGAUACCACGUAGUUGGAUAGUCAGUCCUCACUACGGGGGAACGUUCCAGGAUGGGAUUUGAACCCCGCUUCUGGAGGUCGCCCCUCAACUCAACCUAACAAACUCCAAUCCGCACCAAACUACCAAUAAGGAUAUAUCAAUGUUUCAAAGUCGGCCAAUACCCCGUCGGAGAUGACCCUUCGGAACGAGUCUGCGUAACGCGGUGGAUGAUUCCUAUCCAGCAUAGCUUCGAACCUGCAAAACCCCUUCGAAACAGGAUCAGCGCUAGGAAAACAAAACAGAAAAAGCUUUGCAUUGCCACAGUGGUCGUUUGCCAGGAAAAAAGUCUAAAAAUCAACUUUGUGGAAUUUUUUGUGGGAUUUUUUUAACUAAUCCAUAAAAAUACCACUUUGACAGGUUGAAAAGUUAUAACACUAAGUGUAUAAAAAUCCCACAAUAAUAUUUUGAUUUCAUGUCAGUAGUAGUAGUAAAGUAUUAGUCAUCUCCACCGUACAUUUUCACUAUUUUUAGGUUAAUGACCAUUUUGUUUAUAAACUAUCAAAUUCGAAAUUGAUUAUUUUUUAAUCGUUUUUAUUAAGCUUUUAAUUCUUCUGUUUUGUAAACUUUAUUUUUUCUGAUGGAAUUCUAGAACAAAAACAAGCUUUCCUUUUCUUCUUCUUCUUGCUGGAUUAACGACCUGCGUGGUAAUGGUGGUCAUUUAAACAAACUGCGUAGGUGGAUAGCCAUUCAUCUCUACAUAUGAUUCCUGAGCUAUAGUUCAUCAUUGCUCUCUCUCUCUCUUGAGAACAUCUCGUCCUAAAAUAAUGGCAGCUUUAUGAAGUUACUACAUUAAAUUACUCAAAUUUACAUAAAUUCUUUAUUAUUAUCUACACAUUUAGUUGAAAAAGAAACAAAAAUAAUUUUAUCCUGAUAUUUGUUCUGCACUGACCACUGUGCAGCAUUGUUGCGGACGACUUGCGUGUACUCGCCAUUUACAGAUCCUCCAGUCCUCCUCCGAGGAGCGCUGUGAGUAUUGUGCCGGAGGGGGGGGGGAGGGACUUCCUUUCACUGCACAAGCGUCGAUUAUGACGAAACGUUUGCUAGCGUCACAGCUGAGUGUCGCGUAAGUGAGAGAUUGCUUGCAGGAGUUCAAGUUCAAGAUCGCCGAAGGUUCGCCUUAUGCUUUCGGGCAAGGACAAGGAGUGCACUGUGGACGAGCAAUGUACAGUGUGAUAUGCAGUCUUAUGCCGGCUUUGUCAAACUGUUACGCCUGCAUCCCGUACAUUGAACUUAACCCGUACGGCUGAUAGCUACUUCUGGCCGCGCAGGUGCCCUUCAGCGUGCAAUUCGACCAUGCCUGUUUGCCAAGGUUAGGGACAUACCGAAAACUGGUUGCUUGCGAAACAGUACAGUGAUUCGGCCCAGUUGCACGAACAUGAUUGACAAUCUUCGCGCGCCAUUCGAGUUCGCUGACCGUUCGCCAAUCUCCCGUUGAUGAUCAAUUGACGACGCGGGAAUGUAAUGGCUUCCCGUCGAACGAUUAACUGAGGAAGAGCACACAGCACAGCUAUUGCACAGCUAAAGCUGCGUCGCGUAAAUCUUUACAUCAGCCAGGAUGCAUUAUGCCGAUUGGCGAUAAUUCGAUAAUUCAAUAAAACCUCUUAAUACCCCCCGACAUUCCAUCCCCCAGUCCAGUCGCCAUUUUUUUUCCUUGCACCCGGCAUGCACCCGGGACGCGUGGUCCCACCCGCGAACUACUGCACUUGCGGUGCCUGUGUUCACUACUGCCCUAAGGUGUGCUGCCACCGGUGUGGUCUUUGAACGUCCGCCAUUAGCCAUUGGUUACGAUGCCCACCUGUGGCGGUUUGCGCAUCGGACAACGGACGCCUGCUGGGUGUGAAAAUGUUGAUAAACGCAGAGCCAACACCGAUGGACACCCAAAUUGCCAUCCGUUUAAAUAUGCGCCCAUAAACUGUAUACCCACGAUAUACUACAUCUCCGUUUAAAGUUAUUCGCUGCCUGCAAUAAUGUCAUUUUAGAGACGUUUCUCUUUGGUGAACGACAAGAUCAGUUUUGUGAUGUUACAGAUCAUGCUGAGAUGCGUCGGCUGGGAAAGGAUUUGCCCAAGCCGUUACGUCCAUAUGACGCCCUCCACCAUUCAAAUCCAACGCAAUCUCUCUGCACGCUUAAGUUUGUUGGAGUAUUCAGGCACAAGGGGACCUUCUGUAUUCUUCUAACUGCGCAAAAGUCAAACAGGAUGA